GUUUGAUCCUGGCUCAGAACGAACGCUGGCGGCAUGCUUAACACAUGCAAGUCGAACGAGACUUCGGGUCUAGUGGCGCACGGGUGCGUAACGCGUGGGAAUCUGCCCUUAGGUACGGAAUAACUCAGAGAAAUUUGUGCUAAUACCGUAUGAUGUCGAAAGACCAAAGAUUUAUCGCCUAAGGAUGAGCCCGCGUAAGAUUAGCUUGUUGGUGAGGUAAAAGCUCACCAAGGCGACGAUCUUUAGCUGGUCUGAGAGGAUGAUCAGCCACACUGGGACUGAGACACGGCCCAGACUCUACGGGAGGCAGCAGUGGGGAAUAUUGGACAAUGGGCGAAAGCCUGAUCCAGCAAUGCCGCGUGAGUGAUGAAGGCCUUAGGGUUGUAAAGCUCUUUUACCAGGGAUGAUAAUGACAGUACCUGGAGAAUAAGCUCCGGCUAACUCCGUGCCAGCAGCCGCGGUAAUACGGAGGGAGCUAGCGUUGUUCGGAAUUACUGGGCGUAAAGAGUACGUAGGCGGUUAUUCAAGUCAGAGGUGAAAGCCUGGAGCUCAACUCCAGAACUGCCUUUGAAACUAGAUAGCUAGAAUCUUGGAGAGGUGAGUGGAAUUCCGAGUGUAGAGGUGAAAUUCGUAGAUAUUCGGAAGAACACCAGUGGCGAAGGCGACUCACUGACAAGUAUUGACGCUGAGGUACGAAAGC
rnacentral:rRNA from 1 species